rnacentral:rRNA from 1 species
GAUCAUGGCUCAGGAUGAACGCUAGCUACAGACUUAACACAUGCAAGUCGAGGGGCAGCGGGAUUGAAGCUUGCUUCAAUUGCCGGCGACCGGCGCACGGGUGAGUAACGCGUAUCCAACCUUCCGUACACUCAGGGAUAGCCUUUCGAAAGAAAGAUUAAUACCUGAUGGUAUCUUAAGCACACAUGUAAUUAAGAUUAAAGAUUAUCGGUGUACGAUGGGGUGGCGUUCCAUAGGUAGG